UACAGAGGUGGCAAGCGUUGUUCGGAAUUACUGGGCGUAAAGCGUGCGCAGGCGGUUCGUUAAGUUCGUUGUGAAAGCCCCGGGCUCAACCUGGGAACUGCAAUGGAAACUGGCGGGCUUGAGUGUGGCAGAGGGGGGUGGAAUUCCGCGUGUAGCAGUGAAAUGCGUAGAGAUGCGGAGGAACACCGAUGGCGAAGGCAGCCCCCUGGGCCAACACUGACGCUCAGGCACGAAAGCGUGGGGAGCAAACAGG
rnacentral:rRNA from 1 species